rnacentral:rRNA from 1 species
UUCGUGUGAACAGUGGUUGAUCACGAGUUAGUCGGUCCUAAGUUCAAGGCGAAAGCCGAAAAUUUUCAAGUACUAUAAAAAAAUAUAUGUAAACAUUUUAAAACUUUGUAAACUCUCUUUUAUACACUUGAAUAAUUUUGAACGAAAGGGAAUACGGUUCCAAUUCCGUAACCUGUUGAGUAUCCGUUUGUUAUUAAAUAUGGGCCUCGUGCUCAUCCUGGCAACAGGAACGACCAUAAAGAAGCCGUCGAGAGAUAUCGGAAGAGUUUUCUUUUCUGUUUUAUAGCCGUACUACCAUGGAAGUCUUUCGCAGAGAGAUAUGGUAGAUGGGCUAGAAGAGCAUGACAUAUACUGUUGUGUCGAUAUUUUCUCCUCGGACCUUGAAAAUUUAUGGUGGGGAUACGCAAACUUCUCAACAGGCCGUACCAAUAUCCGCAGCUGGUCUCCAAGGUGAAGAGUCUCUAGUCGAUAGAAUA